rnacentral:rRNA from 1 species
CCUACGGGAGGCUGCAGUGGGGAAUAUUGGACAAUGGGGGGAACCCUGAUCCAGCCAUGCCGCGUGUGUGAAGAAGGCCCUCGGGUUGUAAAGCACUUUCAGUGAGGAAGAACGCCUGGUGGUUAAUACCCAUCAGGAAAGACAGCACUCACAGAAGAAGCACCGGCUAACUCCGUGCCAGCAGCCGCGGUAAUACGGAGGGUGCGAGCGUUAAUCGGAAUUACUGGGCGUAAAGCGCGCGUAGGUGGCUUGAUAAGCCGGUUGUGAAAGCCCCGGGCUCAACCUGGGAACGGCAUCCGGAACUGUCAAGCUAGAGUACAGUAGAGGAAGGUAGAAUUCCCUGUGUAGCGGUGAAAUGCGUAGAGAUCGGGAGGAAUACCAGUGGCGAAGGCGGCCUUCUGGACUGACACUGACACUGAGGUGCGAAAGCGUGGGUAGCAAACAGGAUUAGAUACCCCGGUAGUC